rnacentral:rRNA from 1 species
GACGAACGCUGGCGGCGUGCUUAACACAUGCAAGUCGAACGGAAAGGCCCUGCUUUUGUGGGGUGCUCGAGUGGCGAACGGGUGAGUAACACGUGAGUAACCUGCCCUUGACUUUGGGAUAACUUCAGGAAACUGGGGCUAAUACCGGAUAGGAGCUCCUGCUGCAUGGUGGGGGUUGGAAAGUUUCGGCGGGUUGGGAUGGACGCGCGGCUUAUCAGCUUGUUGGUGGGGGAGUGGCUUACCAAGGCUUUGGCGGGUAGCCGGCCUGAGAGGGUGACCGGCCACCUUGGGACUGAGGGACGGCCCAGACUCCUACGGGAGGCAGCAGUGGGGAAUAUUGCACAAUGGGCGGAAGCCUGAUGCAGCAACGCCGCGGGCGGGAUGACGGCCUUCGGGUUGUAAACCGCUUUCGCCUGUGACGAAGCGUGAGUGACGGUAAUGGGUAAAGAAGCACCGGCUAACUACGUG